GGAGAUAUAGCUCAGUUGGUAGAGUGCUUGCCUCUCAGGCAAAAGGCAUGAUCCCUAGGUUGGAUCCCUAGCACCA
rnacentral:tRNA from 1 species